rnacentral:SRP_RNA from 1 species
CCAUACUAACGCGGGGAGCCAGCAGUUCCCUAUACCCUCAAUCUGCUUUAUGGGGGGCGGACAUCCGUGCCGCGGGCCGUGAAUGAAUGGUAUGGAGCAAAGUUGAAAAUGUUGAUGAAUGGGUCCUGUGCAAUUGAGACCCGUGAACCGUGUCAGGUCCUGACGGAAGCAGCACUAAGCGGUACACUCGAUGUGCCGCAGGUCUGCCUGUUCUGAGUUUUCACUUUGAAUUCCUCAUUUCAGCUCACAGUUCAGAGUUCGGCGUAUGG